rnacentral:rRNA from 1 species
ACGCUGGCGGCGUGCUUAACACAUGCAAGUCGAACGGUAAGGCCCUUCGGGGUACACGAGUGGCGAACGGGUGAGUAACACGUGGGUGAUCUGCCCUGCACUUCGGGAUAAGCCUGGGAAACUGGGUCUAAUACCGGAUAGGACCAUGGACUUCACGGUUUGUGGUGGAAAGCUUUUGCGGUGUGGGAUGGGCCCGCGGCCUAUCAGCUUGUUGGUGGGGUAAUGGCCUACCAAGGCGACGACGGUAGCCGGCCUGAGAGGGUGUCCGGCCACACUGGGACUGAGAUACGGCCCAGACUCCUACGGGAGGCAGCAGUGGGGAAUAUUGCACAAUGGGCGCAAGCCUGAUGCAGCGACGCUGCGUGAGGGAUGACGGCCUUCGGGUUGUAAACCUCUUUCAAUAGGGACGAAGCGCAAGUGACGGUACCUAUAGAAGAAGCACCGGCCAACUACGUG